CGCUCCAUCAAGCACCCAAAUUCCUCAUACUGUUUUCAUAAACUCACACUCAUAAUACAGUAAUGAUAACAAUAACAACAGAGUCCUAACUUUGGAGCCGCUUGACUUACAGAAAUAUACGUUGACCUAAUAAGAAAGUAACAAAAGGUGUGAAAUCCCACAAAAAUUUUGAUGGGUUUUCCAGUUCGUGGAAAAGGGAAAUUUUGAGAAGGUUUUAUUUGUGUUUGGCGAGAUUUUGAGAGCUAGAAUGAAAUAAAAGAGAAAAUUUGGGAAGCUUGAAAAUAACAAGGGAAGAGUUUUUGCAGAGUAUUAUUUGGUUUGGAUUUGGGUUUGGGUUUAAGGUCAUUGAUUGGAAGUAGGCUAGUUACUACAAGUUGCAGCUUGAAUAAGGAAGGCGCCAGUCAAUGGGAAUACCUUUAUAAGUC
rnacentral:misc_RNA from 1 species